rnacentral:rRNA from 1 species
GACGAACGCUGGCGGCGUGCCUAAUACAUGCAAGUCGAACGGUCUUUUCUAUGGAAGCUUGCUUCCACUGAGAAGAUAGUGGCGAACGGGUGAGUAACACGUGGGUAACCUGCCCAUAAGAGGGGGAUAACAUCCGGAAACGGGUGCUAAUACCGCAUAGUUUUCUUGAUCGCAUGAUUGAGAAAGGAAAGACGGCCUUUGUGCUGUCGCUUAUGGAUGGACCCGCGGCGUAUUAGUUAGUUGGUGAGGUAACGGCUCACCAAGACGAUGAUACGUAGCCGACCUGAGAGGGUGAUCGGCCACAUUGGGACUGAGACACGGCCCAAACUCCUACGGGAGGCAGCAGUAAGGAAUAUUGGACAAUGGGGGCAACCCUGAUCCAGCCAUGCCGCGUGAGUGAAGAAGGCCUUAGGGUUGUAAAGCUCUUUCAGGUGCGAAGAUAAUGACUGUAACACCAGAAGAAGCCCCGGCUAAAUUCGUGCCAGCAGCCGCGGUAAUGU